rnacentral:tRNA from 1 species
CAAGAAGUAGUUUAAUUAAAAUAUUAAUUUUGGAGAUUAGUGAUAAGGGUAUCUUUUUUCUUGA